CGAGAGUAUAGGGUAACAAAGAUGUUUGUUAUUAAUCAAACCACCUGAGAAAUCUCUUAUUUCUUGAUGAAAUAAGCGUCUAUAUGUUUUCAGCGCUUGGCGAGGUCCCUGGAGGCCAUAUCAAAGAAGGCAAUGUUGUGGUGAUGACUGUGACUAGGAAUAAGCAGAGACCACCAGUAGCAAAAAUAUCCGAGAUAAAGAGGAGAUAAGAGAGAUAUAGCAAAAGCAAAACUCGAACGGUAGAAUGACAUAUAUAUAUAUAUACGUCAAGUUGUGUUUACAUAUGUAAUAAAUAAACCUUGCACUAGAAGUCUUACCAAUCAUAUUAUUCGUGUCAGCAUUGUAUAUUCGAUUACCCUUCUAAUAAAGAUACUGAGUACUCGCUUCGAUCCAAA